CCGGGUGUGGCGCAGCUGGGAGCGCGCUUGACUGGGGGUCAAGAGGCCGUGGGUUCAAGUCCCGCCACUCGGACCA
rnacentral:tRNA from 1 species